rnacentral:rRNA from 1 species
UACGUAGGGGGCAAGCGUUAUCCGGAUUUACUGGGUGUAAAGGGAGCGUAGACGGAUGGACAAGUCUGAUGUGAAAGGCUGGGGCUCAACCCCGGGACUGCAUUGGAAACUGCCCGUCUUGAGUGCCGGAGAGGCAAGCGGAAUUCCUAGUGUAGCGGUGAAAUGCGUAGAUAUUAGGAGGAACACCAGUGGCGAAGGCGGCUUACUGGACGGUAACUGACGUUGAGGCUCGAAAGCGUGGGGAGCAAACAGG